rnacentral:rRNA from 1 species
GAUGAACGCUGGCGGCGUGCCUCAAACAUGCAAGUCGAGCGGGGCUAUGUAAUAUCGCAAGGUAGAACAUAGCCUAGCGGCGAACGGGUGAGUAACACGUGGGUAACCUGCCUGGAAGACAGGGAUAACGAUUCGAAAGGGUCGCUAAUACCUGAUAAUAUCCUUUCAUCGCAUGGUGAUAGGAAGAAAGGGGAAACCCGCUUUCAGAUGGGCCCGCGUCCCAUCAGCUAGUUGGUAAGGUAAAGGCUUACCAAGGCGACGACGGGUAGCCGGUCUGAGAGGAUGUACGGCCACACUGGGACUGAGAUACGGCCCAGACUCCUACGGGAGGCAGCAGUGGGGGAUAUUGCACAAUGGGCGAAAGCCUGAUGCAGCAACGCCGCGUGAGGGAAGACGGUUUUCGGAUUGUAAACCUCUGUCCUUGGUGAAGAAUAAAUGACGGUAGCCGAGGAGGAAGCCACGGCUAACUACGUGCCAGCAGCCGACGGUAAAAUAGCGUACU